rnacentral:lncRNA from 10 species
GUAAGCCCACCUGAGCCACAGAACCUUCUCCCUCCCUACAAAAGGCUCAGGAGUAGGAGGCACCAGCUGCAGUGCACUGGUGCGAUCUUGGCUCACUGCAACCUCCAUCUCCCGGGUUCAAGUGAUUCUUCUUCCUCAGUUUCCCGAGUAGCUGGGAUUACAAGCACCCACCACCACGUCCAGCUAACCAAGGAUGUGAUCCAUCCGCAUCUCUGCAGACCAUGAUUCAGUACGACAUCUGAAAUGAUGAAAAAGAUGUACAUUUAAAAUAUGUGCAACAAUACUACAGGACUACAAAUGAUAGAUAACCUCCAAAGUUGAAAGGCAACGGGAUGAGAUUAAAGGAAGAAACCACAAGCCAAAAAUAUGACAGGAAGGACU